rnacentral:misc_RNA from 1 species
UCCGGUUUGUCACCGGCAGUCUCCCUAGAGUUCCCGACCGCAUCGCUGGCAACUAAGGACAAGGGUUGCGCUCGUUACGGGACUUAACCCAACAUCUCACGACACGAGCUGACGACAGCCAUGCAGCACCUGUCUCCCGGCUCCCGAAGGCACCCAGGCAUCUCUGCCCGGUCCCGGGGAUGUCAAGACCUGGUAAGGUUCUUCGCGUUGCAUCGAAUUAAACCACAUGCUCCACCGCUUGUGCGGGCCCCCGUCAAUUCAUUUGAGUUUUAACCUUGCGGCCGUACUCCCCAGGCGGUCGACUUAUCGCGUUAGCUGCGCCACUAAAGUCUCAAGUACCCCAACGGCUAGUCGACAUCGUUUACGGCGUGGACUAC